rnacentral:lncRNA from 1 species
CUCAUGAACAGAGGAGUGAUCCUCCUCCUUAGUCAUAUCAUAUGGAAACUUCCAGUGCUGAAGAAGGUAAAAAUAUUUGGAUGGUUAUAUUAUCAAAACAAACCACUCACAACCUCCCAUUUUACAUCGAAAAAGAAAAAAAAAAUCCUUUGAUAAGGUUAAUUGUCCAUUUCUAUUCAACCUUCUCAAAGGGGCUUAUCAACGCAUUGAUGCUCC